rnacentral:lncRNA from 1 species
CAAAAUAAUAAAGUAAGACCAAAAGUAUAAAAAACAGAAAUAGUUCACAUGUCAAAAUGUUGGAAUACAAGGAGAGUAAAGGUAAACGAAAUGACAUCAAUUUGUUUGUCAAGAACAGUUCAUUACUCUUCGUUCAUCUAUACCAAAGUUUGUCAAGAACAAUUUAUUUCUGCUCGCAACUGCUGGCCUCUUCUUCUUUCAAGUUUUUUAACAGCAGAACCCUGAGAAGCAAAGGCUGAUUCAAUCAACAUCUAUCUCUGAAGAAUUCUGGUGAAGGUUCAAGAGGGAAGUGAAGGGAGGUAGUUGGGCGGGUAACAAAGACGGAAGGAGGCAGUACUGUAUGGGGUCAAGAGGGAAGUGAGGUAAAAUAUGAGAAGUUGCAAGUUGUUUCUUAAAAGUUUUAAGGGUAUAUUAGGUAUUUACAGUUUUAAGACCAAUGGAGUCAUAGCUUAAGGGGCAACUAGGACUUAUCUGUCUACUAAAUCAAAUUAUAGGAUUUAGUUGGAUUAAUUAUGAAAAGAGGGACUAUCAUGGUAUUCAAGGCAAAAUAAAUGAUUAUCUUGUCAAAUCCCUACUCAUAACAGGCAUUGCACAAAU